UAACUCGCAAGAGAGGCGAGCCGUCCAAGGUGUAAGUUACAUGAUUGGGGUG
rnacentral:rRNA from 1 species